UACGGGAGGCAGCAGUGGGGAAUAUUGCACAAUGGGGGAAACCCUGAUGCAGCGACGCCGCGUGAGUGAAGAAGUAUUUCGGUAUGUAAAGCUCUUUAAGCAGGGAAGAUAAUGACGGUACCUGCAGAAUAAGCACCGGCUAAAUACGUGCCAGCAGCCGCGGUAAU
rnacentral:rRNA from 1 species